UAAAAUUGAGCUCAAACAUCCGCCAACAAAUAAUCCACCCAUAAUCCUCGAUCACUCUAAUUUCAUUCCCAACAAGCUACAGGCCUACAGAGCAUAUUCCUAAUUCAUAUUCAUAGUUUUGUGUUCUGAAUGAUGGCAGUGCGUUGGAGUCUGACGUUGUGGCUGGGGNGUGUUCUGAAUGAUGGCAGUGCGUUGGAGUCUGACGUUGUGGCUGGGUAAGAUGACGUGGGUGAGUUUGAGUACUUGGAUUAUAUCUUGCUUGACUGUUGCUAAUCAGAUUGCUAUCUCUAUCCGCUCUGGCGAGAUUGGUCCUUUCAAUAUCGGC
rnacentral:lncRNA from 1 species